rnacentral:rRNA from 1 species
UUAAGUUAUUAAGGGCGCACGGUGGAUGCCUUGGCACUAGAAGCCGAUGAAGGACGUUACUAACGACGAUAUGCUUUGGGUAGCUGUAAGUAAGCGUUGAUCCAGAGAUUUCCGAAUGGGGGAACCCAGCAUGAGUUAUGUCAUGUUAUCGACAUGUGAAUUCAUAGCAUGUCAGAAGGCAGACCCGGAGAACUGAAACAUCUUAGUACCCGGAGGAAGAGAAAGAAAAAUCGAUUCCCUGAGUAGCGGCGAGCGAAACGGGAAGAGCCCAAACCAACAAGCUUGCUUGUUGGGGUUGUAGGACACUCUAUACGGAGUUACAAAAGAACAUGUUAGACGAAUCAUCUGGAAAGAUGAAUCAAAGAAGGUAAUAAUCCUGUAGUCGAAAACAUAUUCUCUCUUGAGUGGAUCCUGAGUACGACGGAGCACGUGAAAUUCCGUCGGAAUCUGGGAGGACCAUCUCCUAAGGCUAAAUACUCUCUAGUGACCGAUAGUGAACCAGUACCGUGAGGGAAAGGUGAAAAGUACCCCGGAAGGGGAGUGAAAGAGAACUUGAAACCGUGUGCUUACAAGUAGUCAGAGCCCGUUAAUGGGUGAUGGCGUGCCUUUUGUAGAAUGAACCGGCGAGUUACGAUCUGAUGCAAGGUUAAGCAGCAAAUGUGGAGCCGCAGCGAAAGCGAGUCUGAAUAGGGCGUUGAGUAUUUGGUCGUAGACCCGAAACCAGGUGAUCUACCCUUGGUCAGGUUGAAGUUCAGGUAACACUGAAUGGAGGACCGAACCGACUUACGUUGAAAAGUGAGCGGAUGAACUGAGGGUAGCGGAGAAAUUCCAAUCGAACUUGGAGAUAGCUGGUUCUCUCCGAAAUAGCUUUAGGGCUAGCCUCAAGUGAUGAUUAUUGGAGGUAGAGCACUGUUUGGACGAGGGGCCCCUCUCGGGUUACCGAAUUCAGACAAACUCCGAAUGCCAAUUAAUUUAACUUGGGAGUCAGAACAUGGGUGAUAAGGUCCGUGUUCGAAAGGGAAACAGCCCAGACCACCAGCUAAGGUCCCAAAAUAUAUGUUAAGUGGAAAAGGAUGUGGCGUUGCCCAGACAACUAGGAUGUUGGCUUAGAAGCAGCCAUCAUUUAAAGAGUGCGUAAUAGCUCACUAGUCGAGUGACACUGCGCCGAAAAUGUACCGGGGCUAAACAUAUUACCGAAGCUGUGGAUUGUCCUUUGGACAAUGGUAGGAGAGCGUUCUAAGGGCGUCGAAGCAUGAUCGCAAGGACAUGUGGAGCGCUUAGAAGUGAGAAUGCCGGUGUGAGUAGCGAAAGACGGGUGAGAAUCCCGUCCACCGAUUGACUAAGGUUUCCAGAGGAAGGCUCGUCCGCUCUGGGUUAGUCGGGUCCUAAGCUGAGGCCGACAGGCGUAGGCGAUGGAUAACAGGUUGAUAUUCCUGUACCACCUAGUAUCGUUUUAAUCGAUGGGGGGACGCAGUAGGAUAGGCGAAGCGUGCUGUUGGAGUGCACGUCCAAGCAGUAAGGCUGAGUGUUAGGCAAAUCCGGCACUCAUAAGGCUGAGCUGUGAUGGGGAGAGGAAAUUGUUUCCUCGAGUCGUUGAUUUCACACUGCCGAGAAAAGCCUCUAGAUAGAUAACAGGUGCCCGUACCGCAAACCGACACAGGUAGUCAAGAUGAGAAUUCUAAGGUGAGCGAGCGAACUCUCGUUAAGGAACUCGGCAAAAUGACCCCGUAACUUCGGGAGAAGGGGUGCUCUUUAGGGUUCACGCCCAGAAGAGCCGCAGUGAAUAGGCCCAAGCGACUGUUUAUCAAAAACACAGGUCUCUGCUAAACCGUAAGGUGAUGUAUAGGGGCUGACGCCUGCCCGGUGCUGGAAGGUUAAGAGGAGUGGUUAGCUUCUGCGAAGCUACGAAUCGAAGCCCCAGUAAACGGCGGCCGUAACUAUAACGGUCCUAAGGUAGCGAAAUUCCUUGUCGGGUAAGUUCCGACCCGCACGAAAGGCGUAACGAUUUGGGCACUGUCUCAACGAGAGACUCGGUGAAAUCAUAGUACCUGUGAAGAUGCAGGUUACCCGCGACAGGACGGAAAGACCCCGUGGAGCUUUACUGUAGCCUGAUAUUGAAAUUCGGCACAGCUUGUACAGGAUAGGUAGGAGCCUUUGAAACGUGAGCGCUAGCUUACGUGGAGGCGUUGGUGGGAUACUACCCUAGCUGUGUUGGCUUUCUAACCCGCACCAC